CUCUUUCCUAGCUUUUGGUGG
rnacentral:piRNA from 1 species